UACAGAGGUCUCAAGCGUUGUUCGGAUUCAUUGGGCGUAAAGGGUGCGUAGGCGGCGCGGUAAGUCGGGUGUGAAAUCUCGGAGCUUAACUCCGAAACUGCAUUCGAUACUGCCGUGCUUGAGGACUGGAGAGGAGACUGGAAUUUACGGUGUAGCGGUGAAAUGCGUAGAUAUCGUAAGGAACGCCAGUGGCGAAAGCGGGUCUCUGGGCCGAUAUCGACGCUGAGGAGCGAAAGCGUGGGGAGCGAACAGG
rnacentral:rRNA from 1 species